rnacentral:rRNA from 1 species
GAUGAACGCUGGCGGCGUGCCUAAUACAUGCAAGUCGAGCGAACGGACGAGAAGCUUGCUUCUCUGAUGUUAGCGGCGGACGGGUGAGUAACACGUGGAUAACCUACCUAUAAGACUGGGAUAACUUCGGGAAACCGGAGCUAAUGCCGGAUAAUAUUUUGAACCGCAUGGUUCAAAAGUGAAAGACGGUCUUGCUGUCACUUAUAGAUGGAUCCGCGCUGCAUUAGCUAGUUGGUAAGGUAACGGCCUACCAAGGCAACGAUGCAUAGCCGACCUGAGAGGGUGAUCGGCCACACUGGAACUGAGACACGGUCCAGACUCCUACGGGGGGCAGCAGUAGGGAAUCUUCCGCAAUGGGCGAAAGCCUGACGGAGCAACGCCGCGUGAGUGAUGAAGGUCUUCGGAUCGUAAAACUCUGUUAUUAGGGAAGAACAUAUGUGUAAGUAACUGUGCACAUCUUGACGGUACCUAAUCAGAAAGCCACGGCUAACUACGUG